UGACAUUUCAGAGGUAGCUCUGGCCACUGAUCGACGCUUCAGUUCAAUAAUUGCUGCAACUGCCAUUCCUAAGGCAGAGAGGAGUAGACCCAGACCCAUUCUCUGCAGGUUGCUAAGACCUAAGAUGAAAAGAAAAGAUAGGUAUGACUAUGCGAUCAUACACUGCCAGAGUGAUUAACACAGCUAGAACAAAGAAUACAGUUAGGGAGGCAGCUGGUAUUUGGAAACCGCCAAUUGAUCUUGUUUGGGCCCAUUUCUUGGACCAGCCCAGCUAUGGCAAAGUUACUAAAAUACCCCUACCUCUAGGGAAGCAAAUCCUCCACCAGCUGGAGAUGACUAAAAUACCCUCAUUCAUUGGGGCUCCUCUCCUCUAUAAAUAGGGGUUGUCUCAUCAGACAAAGGUACGCAAUUCUAAGCUACAAAAACGAGAGCAUCUCUCUCUACAUUGAUCCCUUUCUCUCUCUACCUCAUUCAUUUACUGACUUGAGCGUCGGAGGGGCGAUCCCGGGACCACCCCCGGGGUAGGCUAACCUUACCUUUUGCAGGAUUCCGAUGUACGGAUAACGGAGCUCAGGCGUACCUUCUUGGGGCCCAUAUCAAGCUUCUCAGCAUACAUCAACACUGGUGAUCACCCUCAAUUUCUUAGCAGAAACAGUUUGGCGCCGUCUGUGGGGAAAGUACAAGAAGUUACUUCGCCACCACUCAGCAAGAUUCACCUUGUUGCUACUCAGCAAAACUCACGUCAUUGCUGCUCAGCAAUGGCCCCAACCAUGAAGACAUGCUCCUAAGCCAACCGUUCCUGGAGAGCUCAAGCAUCCUAUAUGCACCUAUGGUGCUAUCCCUCUAUCUGAAUGACGAGGAUUCCACCCCAAUGGAAAAUCCACUACGGAUUCGGUCACCCCUCAGCAUCAGGUCAGAUAUGAGUAGCUGACCCAAUGCCCAUGACUGCAACAAACGUCACCUUGAUGGCAAUCUAAUCUUCAACAAACUUUCCAGCAAAGUCGAAUGUGUAUGGUCUCCACUCGUCGAGAGGAGAUCAUUCGUCCUUCCUGAGAUGGUCAGCCUAACCGGCUAGGGCCUAAAUAGAGGGAAGGACCGUGUUAACCCUCAAAGGGCAAAACCUGUUAUCACUCGGAAGAGGUUGUAUUGAAGAACACAACCCAUAAGACUGACCUGAACAAGGGGUGUGGUGACUCAGAACCGUAAAACCUCUCCAGAAUAAGCAGUGGCACCCUCGAAUUUAUGAGGUGGUUCAGCUAAAGGGGCCUAUUCAUCAAAAAACAUCGACUCAUUGACGAGGUCUACUCAUUUAAGGUACCCACUCAUCCUUGGGAGCCCACUCGGCGAAAAGAAUAUGCUCAGCCAGAUGUGCCUAUUCAUCAUCAAAGGCACCAACUCAUCAACGGUACCUGCUCCUUCGAUGUACCCAUUCAUCCAUGGGUGCUUGCUCAGCCGAGGCAUCUACUCGGCCUCAGAUGCCUAAACUUAUGAGAAAUUUAUCCUAACUUCAAAGGCACACUAUCAAAAGCCUUGCAUCACCCAGAUCAGUCCAGCAAAACUAAAACUAUCAAGCCAAUAGAGGCGAGCAAAA